UGGGGAAUAUUGCACAAUGGGGGAAACCCUGAUGCAGCGACGCCGCGUGAAGGAAGAAGUAUCUCGGUAUGUAAACUUCUAUCAGCAGGGAAGAGAUUGACGGUACCUGACUAAGAAGCCCCGGCUAACUACGUGCCAGCAGCCGCGGUAAAACGUAGGUCACAAGCGUUGUCCGGAAUUACUGGGUGUAAAGGGAGCGCAGGCGGGAAGACAAGUUGGAAGUGAAAUCUAUGGGCUCAACCCAUAAACUGCUUUCAAAACUGUUUUUCUUGAGUAGUGCAGAGGUAGGCGGAAUUCCCGGUGUAGCGGUGGAAUGCGUAGAUAUCGGGAGGAACACCAGUGGCGAAGGCGGCCUACUGGGCACCAACUGACGCUGAGGCUCGAAAGUGUGGGUAGCAAACAGGAUUAGAUACCCUGGUAGUCCACACCGUAAACGAUGAUUACUAGGUGUUGGAGGAUUGACCCCUUCAGUGCCGCAGUUAACACAAUAAGUAAUCCACCUGGGGAGUACGACCGCAAGGUUGAAACUCAAAGGAAUUGACGGGGGCCCGCACAAGCAGUGGAGUAUGUGGUUUAAUUCGACGCAACGCGAAGAACCUUACCAAGUCUUGACAUCCUGCGACGAUGCUAGAAAUAGUAUUUUCCUUCGGGACGCAGAGACAGGUGGUGCAUGGUUGUCGUCAGCUCGUGUCGUGAGAUGUUGGGUUAAGUCCCGCAACGAGCGCAACCCUUAUGGUCAGUUACUACGCAAGAGGACUCUGGCCAGACUGCCGUUGACAAAACGGAGGAAGGUGGGGAUGACGUCAAAUCAUCAUGCCCUUUAUGACUUGGGCUACACACGUACUACAAUGGCGUUAAACAAAGAGAAGCAAGACCGCGAGGUGGAGCAAAACUCAGAAACAACGUCCCAGUUCGGACUGCAGGCUGCAACUCGCCUGCACGAAGUCGGAAUUGCUAGUAAUCGUGGAUCAGCAUGCCACGGUGAAUACGUUCCC
rnacentral:rRNA from 1 species